rnacentral:rRNA from 1 species
UUUGGCCUCCGUUUCGGGUCCGAUUUAGCCUGCUAGUUGCGCGGGUCAGACCCGCAGCGAAUAGCUCAGUAACACGUGGCCAAUCUACCCUGUGGACGACGACACUCUCGGGAAACUGAGGCUAAUCGUCGAUACGGGGCGACACCUGGAACGAGUCGCCCCGGAAACGCUCCGGCGCCACAGGAUGAGGCUGCGGCCGAUUAGGUUGACGGUGGGGUAACGGCCCACCGUGCCGAUAAUCGGUACGGGUCGUGAGAGCGAGUGCCCGGAGACGGAAUCUGAGACAAGAUUCCGGGCCCUACGGGGCGCAGCAGGCGCGAAACCUUUACACUGCACGCACGUGCGAUAAGGGGACUCCGAGUGCGAGGGCAUACAGUCCUCGCUUUUCUGGACCGUAGGGUGGUCCAGGAACAAGAGCUGGGCAAGACCGGUGCCAGCCGCCGCGGUAAUACCGGCAGCUCGAGUGAUGGCCGAUCUUAUUGGGCCUAAAGCGUCCGUAGCCGGCCGUGUCGGUCCGUCGGGAAAUCCGNUGGCUNAACCAACGGGCGUCCGGCGGAACCCUACGGCUUGGGACCGGAAGGCUCGAGGGGUACGUNCGGGGUAGGAGUGAAAUCCCGUAAUCCUGGACGGACCGNCNAUGGCNAAAGCACCUUGAGAGGACNGAUCCNACCGUNAAGGACGAAAGCUAGGGUUU